CAAAUAUUCGGCUGCAAUACAUAUCGUCUUCUUCUUUCGCUCUCAUACUUGUCACUCAGUCUUCAGCUGAGCUAAAAGGGAUGCCGUGCUGAGAGUAAAUGAGUCUGCGGAAUACCCAAAUCAAUAAAACUCAGUUCCACGUUUUCAAUGCAACUUUGCCCACAGCACGCCCACACAUACACACGAGCGCGCAGCGGCCUGUAACUGCUUCUAACGGAGCUGUCAUUUAAAGAAAAGCCCGUAUUUCGUUCGCCGGUUGCUUAUAUCCUGGCCUUCU